CACUGUUGAUCUACAUUGCUUCAUUAUCAUCGUCAAAAAAAACAUAUUUAGACAGGAACCCCCCGUAACUGGAAAGCCUUACUUUGUUUCAUUUCCAAAAAGAAGCGAUCUCAACUGUAACAGAGGGACUAUUUGUAGAUUUCCAGUGUAUGCCUCCACAGACGAAUCACUUGGAAUCACUACUAUAAAAAGCACAUCAGAAAGUAUAGAAAACGUCACAAUACAAUACAGUAAUGAAUUGAUCGAUGGAAAAAUUACCGCCAAGGUGGCACAAGUACAAUUUUUGGCUCAGGA